GUACUCUUAUGGGUAAAGAAUGUGUAGUAUCAGAAAUGAGUACUCUUGGUGUGCAUGAUGAUCAAUUUACUCUUAAAUGUAGUUCACUACUUGAGCAUGUGAAUAGUGUGCUUAAAAAUUCUCAAGUUAGUGAUGAUGUCUGUAGAAUUGAUCUUGAUAAUGCACAUGACUCUUUGAACAUCUUGUGUGGUAAAAGCAUUGCAAUUAGUUUUGUUCAUAGAGACUAUGUGUAUGAAAUUUUUUGUGUGUGUGAAUGUGGGAGUGACAUUCUAGGGGAAGGAAGGGACAGCGAUGAUGUCUUAGAAUUGAUCUUGAUAAUGCACAUGACUCUUUGAACAUCUUGUGUGGUAAAAGCAUUGCAAUUAGUUUUGUUCAUAGAGACUAUGUGUAUAAAAAUAUUUUUGUGUGUGAAUGUGAGAGUGACAUUUUAGGGGAAGGAAGGGAUAGCCUUGGCUAAUUUUUUCAUUUGAUCCCGGCACCCUCUUGGAAUGUGGAAAUCUCUACACUCCCCACUUAAUGCUUGGUCAAGAUGACAAGCAAUGUUUGGUUGUGGGUGCUAAUGAAGGAAGACAAUGUUCUUCCUUAUCUCUUUUUAUGGAUGAUGACCUCUUCCUUUGUGUCUUUUGUACUAAGCUUUGUAUGUUCAACACAAAGGACCC
rnacentral:lncRNA from 1 species